rnacentral:rRNA from 1 species
GAUGAACGCUGACAGAAUGCUUAACACAUGCAAGUCUACUUGAAUUUGGGUUUUUAACUUAGGUUUGGGUGGCGGACGGGUGAGUAACGCGUAAAGAACUUGCCUCACAGCUAGGGACAACAUUUAGAAAUGAAUGCUAAUACCUAAUAUUAUGAUAAUAGGGCAUCCUAUAAUUAUGAAAGCUAUAUGCGCUGUGAGAGAGCUUUGCGUCCUAUUAGCUAGUUGGUAAGGUAAAGGCUUACCAAGGCGAUGAUAGGUAGCCGGCCUGAGAGGGUGGACGGCCACAAGGGGACUGAGAUACGGCCCUUACUCCUACGGGAGGCAGCAGUGGGGAAUAUUGGACAAUGGAGGAAACUCUGAUCCAGCAAUUCUGUGUGUGUGAAGAAGGUCUUCGGAUUGUAAAACACUUUUAGUUGGGAAGAAACAAAUGACGGUACC